rnacentral:rRNA from 1 species
GACGAACGCUGGCGGCGUGCUUAACACAUGCAAGUCGAACGGAAAGGCCCUGCUUUUGUGGGGUGCUCGAGUGGCGAACGGGUGAGUAACACGUGAGUAACCUGCCCUUGACUUUGGGAUAACUUCAGGAAACUGGGGCUAAUACCGGAUAGGAGCUCCUGCUGCAUGGUGGGGGUUGGAAAGUUUCGGCGGUUGGGGAUGGACUCGCGGCUUAUCAGCUUGUUGGUGGGGUAGUGGCUUACCAAGGCUUUGACGGGUAGCCGGCCUGAGAGGGUGACCGGCCACAUUGGGACUGAGAUACGGCCCAGACUCCUACGGGAGGCAGCAGGGGGGAAUAUUGCACAAUGGGCGGAAGCCUGAUGCAGCAACGCCGCGUGCGGGAUGAAGGCCUUCGGGUUGUAAACCGCUUUCGCCUGUGACGAAGCGUGAGUGACGGUAAUGGGUAAAGAAGCACCGGCUAACUACGUG